ACCUGAGGAGGAAGAAGUGGGCAGAGAGGACGCAGAAGGGAGAAGAGGCCCCAGAGACACAGACGCAGGGAGGCACCCAGAGAGACACCGAGUAACCGAGAAAGGGGGAAGGACAGAACACUCAAGAGUCAGAGACAAAGACCCAAAGAGAGACGCAGACAGGGCGGCACUCUGAGCCUCUGGAUGAGAGUGCGGAGAAUCCACGGGGUCCGACUGUCCCUUCUCCCGUGGUUUCCCGCAGGAUGCCCUCUGGCUGGCUGGAAACCUUCGCGUCCAGAUAAGAAGAUGCGGGAAGUGGUUCGUCUUCUAAACUGGGACUACAACUCCCAGAAGGCACUGGAGCGUCUGUAUGAUCUGCUUGUCUCUAAGCCAGGGGCACAGGGACUGGACCAGGUACUCAGAAACAACCACCAACCCCCGUAGAAUGGCUCCAGAAACCCAGGAGGCCAUCUGGUGAGUCAGGAGUUUCUUCAGCCUCCGAAGCCCAGAAGCAGCUUCCCAGAGGUU